GCAUCCUGCCUCUCUGUCUCCACUGUCCUCUCCCCCUGUCCCUUGGCUGCCUGCCUCUCUGUCUCCGGACGGCCUCCCGUCAUCCAGCUUUGGCUUCCCUGAGGCUUCCCUGAGGAUGGAAGUUCCUCUUAGAUAAUACACAUAUACUGGAGCGGAGAGGUGCUGAAGGAAAUGGUUGAACUGACUCAUACACUGGAGCUGUGGUGGUCUGUAGUGGUCUGUAGUGGUCUGUAGUGGUCUGUAGUGGUCUGUAGUGGUCUGUAGGGGUCUGUAGUGGUCUGUAGUGGGCGGUUCUGGUCUGUAGUGGUCUGUAGUGGUCUGUAGUGGUCUGUGGUGGUCUGUAGUGGUCUGUAGUGGUCUGUAGUGGUCUGUAGUGGUCUGUAGGGGUCUGCAGUGGUCUGUAGUGGUCUGUAGGGUUCUGUAGUGGUCUGUAGUGGUCUGUAGUGGGCGGUUCUGGUCUGUAGUGGUCUGUAGUGGUCUGUAGUGGUCUGCAGUGGUCUGUAGUGGUCUGUAGUGGUCUGUAGUGGUCUGUAGUGGGCGGUUCUAGCUGUGGUGGUCUGUAGUCGUCUGUAGUGGUCUGUAGUGGGCGGUUCUAGCUGUAGUGGUCUGUAGUGGUCUGUAGUGGUCUGUAGUGGGCGGUUCUAGCUGUAGUGGUCUGUAGUGGUCAGUUGUGGUCUGUAGUGGUCUGUAGUGGUCAGUAGUGGACAGUUCUAGCUGUAGUGGUCAGUGGUGGUCAGUUGUGGUCUGUAGGGGCCUGUCGUGGUCUGUCGUGGUCUGUAGUGGUCAGUAGUGGUCUGUAGGGGUCUGUAGGGGUCUGUAGGGGUCUGUGGUGGUCUGUGGUGGUCAGUUGUGGUCUGUAGGGGCCUGUAGGGGUCUGUAGGGGUCUGUAGGGGCCUGUGGUGGUCUGUAGGGGUCUGUAGAGGCCAGUUGUGGUCUGUAGUGGUCUGUAGUGGCCAGUUGUGGUCAGUUGUGGUCAGUUGUGGUCUGUAGGGGUCUGUAGGGGUCUGUAGG
rnacentral:lncRNA from 1 species